AAUGACAAGUCGAGCGGUAGCACAGAGAGCUUGCUCUCGGGUGACGAGUGGCGGACGGGUGAGUAAUGUCUGGGAAACUGCCUGAUGGAGGGGGAUAACUACUGGAAACGGUAGCUAAUACCGCAUAACGUCGCAAGACCAAAGAGGGGGACCUUCGGGCCUCUUGCCAUCAGAUGUGCCCAGAUGGGAUUAGCUAGUAGGUGGGGUAACGGCUCACCUAGGCGACGAUCCCUAGCUGGGCUGAGAGGAUGACCAGCCACACUGCUGCUGAGACCUGUCCAGACUCCUACGGGAGGCAGCGUGGUGUUCUUGCACAAUGGCCCUUCCUUGAAGCAUUGUUCCG
rnacentral:rRNA from 1 species